GAGGGGCGUGGACGGUGAGGGCCUAUGCUGUGUUGAGCAGCAAAAGAAGUCGAGAUCCUAGAAUCAAUGAGCUGGAAGAACACGAGGAAGCCGGAGGGCAGAGGCUUGAAGUUGAGAUUUCAGAAACGGUGCAGUUUCACACUCAGGAUUGACACGGGAGGUGGUGGCUGAGGUGACACGAUGGAAGUGGCUGUCGGAGAUUGCUCUCCAGUGGCAGAGUGCAAACGACUUGACCUGGGAAACAGAAAGACGUGGGUUCAAGAUGCCCCUUUCCCACUCACUAGCAUUUGCUUAACCGUCCUGCCACUCAGCUUCCGUGCUUGCAAAAUAGCAAUAGGAACACCUCCCCACAGGGCGCUAAGAGGACUGGAGAACUUGUCUACAAGGUCGCUGAGCAGAAUGGGAUCCCCAGGAAAGGUAGACACCACAGUUAUCAGUUGUAUUAAUAUUCACCCACCAGGUGUCACGAAGAGCAAUGGCAUGACCGACCACUGCUGGGAUGUUGAGAACACAAGGAGACUAGGUUUGGGAACCUCUUUGUGCAUAACUGCUAAGUCCUGAACUUCUGUUCUAAAAUAAUGGAUGAAUAUGAUGCG